AAAAGGCGCCUGGGACGGCGAGCAGCGAUGGACGGAGUGACAGCCAGGCGCUGGUAAAGCAUGUCCACGUUACACAAUCCCCUACCUGGGUGGAGAUGGAUCUAAAUCCCUGUGAAGCAUUCUGAGCCUUGUGUUGCCUCACAUUUAUUUCAAAUGUCACCAGUUUCACUUUGGGCACUAUCUCAGCUUGGAAGAAAGUAAAAGCAAUGCCCUGGAAGGAGCUGCCGUCCACAGCUGGAAGGGAAAACGUGCCGGCACAAAGUCUGGAAGAGGAGGAGGAGCUGGAAGGGCAGAACCUGCACCAUGACUGAGCAGAAGUGCUCGGACCUCGCUGACUCAACUGCCUCACUUUGCUUCAAGCACUCGAAAUAGGAGAAGAAAAACAAAAGUUCUGAGGCUCUGAGCAUCCAUUUCCUGAGCGUUCCUUGGGUUUGGUGCACGGCGUGGUGUCCUUGAGGAGAGGCCGAGUCAGAGACGUGGUGCUGAGAUCCCUGGAUCACAGCCCUUGGAGCAGGAUCCCUGCUGGAGAUCAGCAAGGAAGAUGCUCCAGGACUCGUGGAACAGAUUCUGAGUGGCACCAGCAGAUCCCGACCAUGAUCCCGGUCCCGAUCAGCACCUUGUGCAUGAGACCCCUGAAAUGGAUUUUCCUGUUGCUGCUGGUGUUUUCCCUGAUAACCAUGUGGUACAUAACCUUCUCCUCCAGGGCUGGCCUGGACAACGUGAACCCUCUGUACUUCUUCGAGUACGAGCCCGUGUACCGGCAGCCGCGCCCGUUCACGCUGCGCGAGCGCCCCAGGUGCGCCGACCUCCAACCCUUCCUGGUCAUCCUGGUGGCUUCCAGCCCCAGGGACGUGAAAGCCAGGCAGGCCAUCAGGAUCACGUGGGGCUCCCGGGACUCCUGGUGGGGCCAGCACAUCCUGACGCUGUUCCUGCUGGGGCAGGACACGCAGAGGGAGGACAGGGCGGCAGCGCUGGCGGUGGAGGACGAGAGCACCCUCUACGGGGACAUCAUCCGCCAGGACUUCAUGGACACUUACGACAACCUCACCCUGAAGACCAUCAUGGCGUUCCAGUGGUUCUCCGAGUUCUGUUCCAACGCCAGGUUCUUCAUGAAGACCGACGCCGAUGUCUUCAUCAACACUCCCAACCUGGUGAAGUUCCUGCUGCAGCUGAAUUCCUCGGAGAACGUUUUCACCGGGUACCCCCUCAUCGAUAACUUUGCCUACCGAGGCUUCGACCCGAAAAGGUACAUCUCCUACCAGGAGUAUCCCUUCAAGCUCUAUCCUCCCUACUGCAGCGGCCUGGGAUACAUCCUGGAUGGAAAACUGGCUCUGAGGACUUACGAGCUGAUGGGCCACGUCAGACCUCUGAAAUUUGAGGAUGUUUAUGUGGGAAUUUGCUUAAAUAUACUCAAGGUCAACAUCGCUAUUCCAGAAGAUGCAGAACAAUUCUUUCUCUACAAAAUCGACUUUGAUAUCUGUAAAUACAGACAUCUGAUUGCAGUUCAUGGCCUCACAUCAAGUGAACUGGUCCAGUUCUGGCAGGAUUUGUCAUCCAACACUUCAAAACCUUGCUUUUGAUUGUGGAUUUCUUUAGAAACUUCAGUUUGCUGUAAGAGCAGCCUCUAGAGAUGACUCUGACUGCUGGGGCAAUGCUUCUCCAGGGCAUUCCAGUGCUUUUCAACAAAAGCAGGGAUUCACAAAGCACUUCUCCAGGUGUGUAUCCCACACCCAGAGGGUGCCUUGGAAUGCUCUGUCCCAUCUGCCUCUGCUGCCUUUCCAUGUGCUCGGAGCAGCCCUGGAAUUUCCCCCUGAAUCCUCUGGAAUGUACAAAAUGCCAUUGAGGAAAGAUGUUCCUGCCAAGCAAGCAGCUUGGAGGAUGCUUCCUGAAUUGCUGCCUGGAUUGUUUUUAUUGUUUUAUUGCCACUCUCCUUUAUUUGUUCUCUGCCUAGCACAGAAUUUAACCCAACCCAACCCAACCUUGUUUUUUGUGUAAGCCUCCCGAGAGUGUCACACCUUGUUAUUUAAAUGUGUCACCUCCACAACCCUUCCAGGAGUGUUCCCAGCCUGUGGGAUCUGCAGGAGCUGGUGAGAAAUGCUGGAAAUGUGAUGCAUUUUGGGCGUGCUUAUUAAAUGGAAUGACUUUGGUGUCUCUGCUGGUGUUCCCAGACCAGGGAGAUGGAGUGGAGCUCACGAUCAAUCUGGACAUCCCAAAACCACUGGGAUCACCAAUCCCCCCACCCCUGUACGUAUGUGUGUGAUGCAUCCCAGGAGUUUUGGAAUCCUGUGGAGAAGACGGAAAAUCAUUUCUGUUGUGAUUUAUGCCUGGUCCUAAAUGAGUUUUUUGGUUCCAGUUUGAAAACUGGAAAAAGGAAGAAACCCCCCCAUUGCUACUUUAAAGAAGACCGACUCCUCCCCGUGUGUAAAGACCAUUUUUUAAUCACUUUAUUCAUAUCAGCAAGGCCCAGUUUUCAGUAGUUUACACUUCUAAUGGACAACGAUACAGAAUUUGCAAUUGCAUGAACAGAAUUAACCUGGACACAUCCACUACACGGGGGAGGGACUGAGGAGACGUCCUGGCCACGCUCCCAGGGCUUCCCCUUGGGCUGGCACGACCCCACAGCCCUGGUGUGUCCCAGAGCCCGAGCUCAGGGCUGCCCAGAGCUGCAGGAGCAGGGCUGAGGGGUCAGCAGUGCCUCCAGCACCCAGGCACUGCUGGCUUUGGCUCUGCUCCACAGCUGCACCUGGGGCUGGGGAGGGGAUCUCAGGAUGGGCUUGUGGUUUUUUAGGGAUGAAAAAGUCUUGGGGGAAAACACUCUCCAGACAAGGAUUUCAGAUGUCAGUGUUCUGAUGGUGAAAAGGUCAAAGAUUUUAAAAAAUAAAGGCUAUUAUUUUUUUUUUUUUAUUUUUUGGGAAAAUACAGUAUUGCAUAACUGAGGGAACGAUGCUCUUGUAUUCCUAGAUCUGGGUGAAAUUCCAGCUGUGCUGUGGGUUUAGGAGCUGGGAUUUGAUUGCUCUCUGAGCAGGUACGGGGAGAACUGCCUUGUUCUGUGAUUGUUUACACAACUCAACCCCCAAACCCCUCAGUUCUUCUCUAAGCCUGCCACGUGAAAUGCUUAGAAAUAAAUUAUUUACCACAAGAACACUGAUACUACAGCACAGCUUGUAUUGCUUUUUCCAAAAUAAAAAUGUAAUUAUGACUCUGCUGCCUUCAGGAAAUGGAUAAAGCAGAGAAUGCUCGUGGUGAGGGAGGAAUGAGAGUCCUGGGAAGGUGAGGAUGGCCAGAAAUUCUCCUGUCACCUGCAGGAAUUCGGGGUUUUGUGCCCCAAAUGCUGACACUGCUCACAGGUUCCAAGGGUUAGGUUUAUACACAGUGAUCUCUUUGUGCCACCUGAAAUUAAUUGUCAUUGACAGUGCCAGCAGCACUGGAAAAACAUCCAUCCUGCCCCUGGUUUUCCUAAAAAAACCUCAUUUCCAAGUCUGGCUUGUAUUUGAUUUUGACUUUAUUAUUGCUUAAAAGGCUGUAAAAUUCCUAACUGAGCUCCUGUUUCUGCUCAAAGCCAUUCUUAGGGAAGUUUUUAGUGUGAGCAGCCUGGCAAAAGGUGAAAAACCUUAAAAAUAUGAAAUAAUCUGGGCAUUGAAGUGGGGUGGAGGGCAAAUUUUUAUUGCAUCUGCCUAGAAUAUUGUACUAAAACAAAGUGUAAAACACAGGUUAAAGGUUUCCCAAAUCCUAAGGUUUUGUUUUUUUUCCUCAUGCAGCUGUAUUAAAUCAGAAUUCCAAAUAUUUGUGAUUUUGAUAGGAAAACUGUACGGUUUUCUGACCUGAAAAGCCUAAUAAUAAUAAUAAUAAUAAUAAUAAUAAUGUUAAUUCAUUGGGCAAAGAUGUUUGGAAGUUGCUGCUGGGUGGGGAGCAGGAGUGAGUUCCAAGGUGAAAUUCCCAUUCUGGAUGUUAUUUCAGAGGAGUUCAAAUGCUUUGUGUGCACCCUGGCACAAAGAAAUUCCCCAUAAAUCUAACAGGAGAUGCAGGGGCAGCACUCCCCGUGCUCAGUGCAACAGGAUGUUUGGGACAUUUCCCUAAAUUUUGCCUCACAUUUACGGAUGACCGGUGUCAGAGAGGCUGCCUGUGUCCACAGAUGCAACUCCACUUCAAAAAAUGCAGGAUUGGCCAUCAAAUAUGCUUGGAAAAAAGUGCUUUAAAAAGUUCCCUAUUGCUCAGAUCAUUCCCAGAAUCCCAGACUGGUUUGGGUUGGAAGGGACCUUAAAAACCCCCUCAUUCCAACUCCCUCAGGGCUGAGCAGAGCAGGCACAGGAGCUGCCCAAAUCCGUGAAAUCCACACGUUUUUCCCUCAAGAAUUGCCCUCAAAGCUCUGUUUGUGGUUCUGGCAAGGCUCCAGCUGCACCCACCAGGUUUUGCUUCCCAGAGCACCCAGAUUAUCCUCCAGAGCUGGACACAGCUGGAAUUUUAAGUUACCUCAGGAAAAUCCAAAUUUAUCCACCUGCUCCCCUAAGCCUUGUCCAGUCAGCACUGGAAAAAUAAAAGUAAGGAAACUUCAGCUCAUUAUUAAUUAUCUGUACAGAUAUUUUUCUCUGGGGAGUUUAAAAAGGCCAUUUAUGAAUAUAUUGGGCACAAGGGGCUGCAGCUCUGGGCUCUGCAGUGGCCAAAUUCCAGCAGAACAUUCUCACUUGGAAUUUUGUUCAGAGGCCUCAAAUCCUGCUUUGGGGGAUGAAAGGCAGGUGAGGUGUUUUUUCUGUAAUAUAAUCACUGACUAAAUGCUUCUCUGUGUAAAACAAGUAUCAGCUACAUUAGCAAUAAAUCCAUAUUAUUUAAAGCAGGGCUGUCCUGUAUCCUGAGACACAAAAUUCCCUUUUUUUUUGUUUUUUUUUGAGGCUGUGGCAUUGGUGUUUCUGCAGCCAAGCUGAUGCAGUGCUUUAAUUCUGACUCCUGGAUUCUAAAAUCUUCACAACAUUUUUAAUUUCACCUCUGGAAAUGGUUUCACCCUGCAACAGCAGCAGCAGUGGGAGUGGAAAUCCUUUAUCCUGGGGGCUGCUGUGGGGUUUGUGGGAAUGUCUCAGGCCAGCAGAAGGAGCCACGGUGCCACCAAGCUGGGGACAGGCUGGGACAUUCCAGCCCUGCCAGGAAUUCCAGGAAGGAUCCGAGGGAUGGAUGAACUCCACAGCAAUCUGUGCUGCAGGCUGAGGGAAUCAUCAGAGCAUCCCAGGGGAGAGACCUGGGAUAUCCCUGGGAACAGCCCAACUUGGGAACAGCCCAACUUGGGAACAGCCCAGUUCCCCAGAGCUGGGAGCUGGGACAUCCCUGGAACAGCCCAAUUCCUGAGCACUGGGAGCUGGGAUGUCCCUGGGACCAGAUGAAUUUGGGAACAGCCCAAUUCCAGAGUGCUGGAAUGUCCCUGGAAUAGCCCAGUUCCUGAGCACUGGGAGCUGGGACACCCCUGGGAACAGCCCAGUUUGGGAACAGCCCAAUUUGGGAACAGCCCAAUUUCAGAGUGCUGGGACAUCCCUGGAACAGCCCAGCUUGGGAACAGCCCAGUUCCCCAUGGCUGGCUCAGCCUCGUGGUCCCUUUGUCACCUCAGGCCAUCUGAAGAUGCUCUUUGGCAGCCACUCCCUGUGCCCUGAGGCUCCAGCUGUCCCCAGGGGGAUGAAGCCACCAAAGCUGGCUGGAUGAGCAGGAGGAGCUCCAGGCAGCUCCCUGUUUUUGGGAGGAGAGCAGCAGGAAGGCUGGAGCCCUGCUGCCACAGCCAGAGGGAUGUUCCUGGCAGCCCUUCCCAGAUGGAGGAUGGAGUGUUAAGGCAGUGGGAGAGCCCUGCACUGGUCAGGUUGCAUAAGCAAUCUGCACAAGGAGUUCAUCCUGUCACGCUCCAGCUGUGUCACGACAGAGUUUGGCACAAAUCAGCACCACUGGAAAGCUGGAAAUGCCUCGAUUUGGAGGGAAAGCUUCCAAACCUUCCAGCUGGGAGCACAGGUAGGCACUGCACGUGGGUGUGGGAGACCACACAAAGCCUCUCACAUCCAUCAGUCCUUCCUCUUCAAGGAAGCAGCUGAAGCUCCUUUUUCAAAGCAAUCCAAUCAAAAAUUCCCUGGCUGAGCAGAGAUCAUUGGCAUGGAUGGCUCUGGCCAGGACAGCCCUGCCAGGGAGGGGAGAGGAAGCUGAAGGUGCUGAGCCAGUUCUUGCUGCAGCUGCAGCCACUCGGGGUUGGCACAGGGCUGGUUGGGAUCUGCCUGAGGGACAGGGAAUGAUCCUGGAAUGAUCCUGGAAUGAUCCAGGCAAAGCUGCAAACCCCUCCUGCCCUGCUGCGUUUGCCUGAAUCCCGCACGAGCUGCUCUGCCCCCUGCCAGGGCUCCCUCCUGGCUGCAGCUCCUGCCAGCUCGUGUCCCUGGCUGUCCCAGGGCUGUGCUCAGAGCUCUCGGAUCCCUCAGGAAUGCUCACUGGCCUUGGGAUGCUCCCUGCAGCCAGGAGCUCCCACCCCAGCUGGAUGUGUGCUGUUUUCCUGGGCAUGGCCAUCGUUCCAGUGCCUGGGAUGGGUUAGUGGAGAUGUCUGCACACAAACAUCCCUCUCCUCCACAGCUGCUGGCUGGAAUCCCUCUUUCCCCAGGACAGCCGUGCCCUCCAAAGGGAAAGCACAACAGGAGCACUGAAGGGGACAGGGAAGGCAAACUCCACACACUGAGCUGCUCCCCCACUGCUGCUGUGCCAUCCCAGCCCAGGAUCCAGCAUUCCCAUGGGAUCAUCACCCACGGGCUGCACCUGCCAGCACCUGACCUCGCUGCCUGUGCACACUGCAACAACUGAAGCAAUUGUCACCAAUUCCUGUCAGCUGCUCACCUGAACAGCCAGGGGACUGCAAAGGUCAGGGAGCCAAUUAAGGGCUGAGAUCAUCCCCAAACAAAUUAAAGGAGGGAAGUUUGUUGGGGGAGAGGUGACCCAGGGACAAAACAAGACAAAGAUGGGGAUUCCUUCUCGAGCAGAAGUUUGUGCUCUUUGAUUUUUUGCCUUGAGAGACCCCCUCAGCACCUCCCCAGCAGAGCUCAGCCCCACCCCAGACCCCUGGAGGUGAGCAGAGGGGCCAGGCAGCUGGGAAA